rnacentral:lncRNA from 1 species
GUAAGUACCACAAUGCUUAUGCAAUAAAGCUUCAGUUUGAGGUGAGGGUCAGUUUGAGGUGAGGGCUAGGCAGGGCUGACAUUCAGCCAACACAUGUGUAUCAAUAUAGGUUGUUGAAAAUAUUAAACUGCUUUUCCUCCAGGCUGGUAAAUGGCACUACCCUGAACCACCCAAGGCCCCUUCCCCUGGACUCCAGGACCUCCUCGACAUCCUUGCAUAAAAACAUUAAUUUCUGGCAUUAUUUUGAUAAUCACCCCUGGAGCUAGGGGACUUGGCUUGAGGAUACUUUUGCAUAGCAUUUUACUUAACAUUGAAAAACACAACAGUUUUAUCAAUAAAUGGGUUGCAGAAUGUAAAAGCAAACAGACCAACCGCUACACUCUGGCCUCAGAUAUUCCUCAAGCUAGAUCCUUCUGGGGAACUAACUCUUUUCCUGCUGAGUCACUGUGGCUGCAGCCCUGCCCUUCCAUGUGACUGUGUCAUUUGGCAUUAUGGUUCCUCCUGAGCCCAAGGGAACUACAAAGGUCUGUAUCAGGACACUGGGCAUUGCCACUGUGCUAGGUGCACACACCUGACUGAUCGUCUUGUGGGCUCCCGCAUUUCCUGUUGCUCCAGGCAUCAGAUAUAUCCCUGGGAUCCCUCCAUUAGCUUGGCAAUGCUAUGGAAGUUGCCAGAAAAAGAAUCCUAAGGAAUUGGUUCUUGGCAAAUCCUAAGGAAUUUGGCUCAGGCAUUUGUCUUCCUAAUGAACUGGUGGGGAGGUAGCUGUGUUGGUACAUCAUCUCCAAGGCAGGAUCCUGCCCUCUGAAGCUUGAGUGGCUCCCAAAGUCUCAAGCCCACUGUGCUGAUUUGAGCAUUUGGCUCAGCCUUUUCUGGUCAUCACCAACGUUCACCUGGCCAUGCUGAUGGCAGCACGCAUGGAUCUGGCCAUUCCCACAGCCUGGUCACCCCAUGGUGGCCCUUGAUUGAGCUUGCCAUGGCACGGAAGGGGGCCUCUCCUACUCACCGAUCUCCUUAUUGAGAGAAAGAGUCUUGCUGUGUUGCCCAGGCUGGUCUCAAACUCCUGGGCUCAAGAAAUCCUCCCGCCUCAGCCUCCCAAAGUGUUGGGAUUACAGGUAUGAGCCAUUGCACCUGGCCCAGAAAUAUCUUUAGUUAUGUGGCAAAGUGCCCAGCUGAACCUUCUGUUAUCACAGAUCAGAGAACAAAUAUUGGGAAAUGUUAGGUACUGAAUGUUUGUAUCCCCACUAAAAUUCAUAUGUUGCUGGCAUUUGGAGAUAGGACCUUUGGGAAUUAAUUAUUGUCAGAUGAGGUCAUGAGGGUGAAACCCUUCUCUGAUAGGAUUAGUGUCCUUAUAAGAAGAGACAUCUGCUGGACUCAGUGGCUCAUGCCUGCAAUCCCAGCACUUUGGGAGGCUGAGGCAGGCAGAUUGCUUGAAGUCAUGAGUUCCAGACCAGCCUGGGCAACAUGGCAAAACCCCAUCUCUACAAAAAAUACAAAAAUUUGUCAGGCAUGGUGUCACAUAUAUGUAGUCCCAGCUACUCAGGAGGCUGAGGUGGGAGGAUCGUUUGAGCCCAGGAGGCAGAGGUUGCAAUAAGCUGAGAUUGCGCCACUGCACUCCAGCCUGGGCGAUAGAGCCAGACCUUGUCUUAAAAAAUAAAAAUAAAGAAAGAAGACACAUCACUCACUCUCCAUCCACUAUGUGAGGACGCAGAGAGAAGGCAGUCAUCUACAAGCCAAGAAGAGAGCCUUCAUCAGAAACGGACCCUGCUACUCCUUGAUCUGGGACUUCCAGUCUCCAGAACUGAGAAAAACAUACACUUCUGGUGUUUAAGCCACCCAGUUUGUGGUAUUGUGUUAUGGCAGCCCAAGCAGAUAGAUAAAGAUUCUACCUCCAAACAGUCACAUUCUGCGGAACAGGAGGUUCUGACUUCAACCUAUAAAUUUGUAGGGGGGACACAAUUUAGCCAUAAUAAGCAUACUAUAGAUGCCCAGGAAAUACUUCUUAUCUAUCUGAUUAAAAGACUCAGAAAGAGAAAGGCUAAUCAUACCGUUAACUAACUCCUGUGCACAGGGCCACUCAGCAAUGUUUUGACAUGUUACUCCUCCUCUUGCUUCCCCUUAGAACUCAAUAUUCUCUUUGGCUGUUAAGACCACUCUCUCUAAGUUCUUUUCCUUCUUCUCAGGCCACUCCUUCAUCUCCUGAGUUCCUCUACCUCCGGCCAUCCUUUAAAAGUCAGCAUUCUAUAGUCUUAUUCUCCUCACUCUAAGCUCUUUCCACGGUGAUCUCAUGGACUCCACUGCUGCAAUCAUCGUUUGCAUCUGAUGGUUCUCAAAUCCAUAGCUUCCACUCACACCUCUUCUAAACAGCUUGUCCAAAGCACUAACAGAGCCAGCCAUGGUGGUGUGCACCUAUAAUCCUAGCUUCUCAGGAGGCUGAGCAGGGAGGAUUGUUUGAGGUUAGGAGGUCAAGGUUGCAGUGCACUAUGAUCAUGCCUGUCAAUAGUCACUGGUCUCCAGACUGGGCAACAUAGUGAGACCCCACCUCAAAAAAAAAAGCACUAACAG